rnacentral:rRNA from 1 species
AACGAACGCUGGCGGCAGGCCUAACACAUGCAAGUCGAGCGGUAAGGCCCUUUCGGGGGUACACGAGCGGCGAACGGGUGAGUAACACGUGGGUGACCUGCCCUCAGCUCUGGGAUAAGCCUGGGAAACCGGGUCUAAUACUGGAUAUGACUCCAUGACGCAUGUUGUGGGGUGGAAAGCCUUGUGCGGCUGAGGAUGGGCCCGCGGCCUAUCAGCUUGUUGGUGGGGUGANGGCCUACCAAGGCGACGACGGGUAGCCGGCCUGAGAGGGCGACCGGCCACACUGGGACUGAGACACGGGCCCAGACUCCUACGGGAGGCAGCAGUGGGGAAUCUUGCGCAAUGGGCGAAAGCCUGACGCAGCGACGCCGCGUGAGGGAUGACGGCCUGG